UUUUGCCUGUUAUUUCGGCAAAUUGCGGCAGUGGCAACGCCGGGCGUCCGCCUUUUUGGAUGUUUUUGUAUUGGAGACGCUACAUUUCUUCAAAAAGGGCUGACAAAAAGAGUAAAUGUUCGGCUAUGCUAUACGCGGGCACAUGCCCAAAUCUCUAUUUUCAGGAUCAGUUAGAAAUGGCAACCGGUACAGUUAAGUGGUUCAACGACGCCAAAGGCUUUGGCUUUAUCACUCCCGAUGAAGGCGGCGACGACCUGUUCGCACACUUCUCCGCGAUUCAAGGCAACGGUUUCAAGACCUUGAAAGAAGGCCAACGCGUGAGCUUCGAGAUCACCACAGGCCAGAAAGGCAAGCAAGCCUCGAACAUCCAGGCUAACUAAUUCGGUUAGCCAGACGAAAAGCCCGCGGAAGCGGGCUUUUUUUU
rnacentral:sRNA from 1 species